rnacentral:rRNA from 1 species
CACGUAGGGCGCAAGCGUUGUCCGGAAUUAUUGGGCGUAAAGAGCUCGUAGGCGGUCUGUUGCGUCCGCUGUGAAAACUCGGGGCUUAACCCCGAGCCUGCAGUGGAUACGGGCAGACUAGAGGUAGGUAGGGGAGAAUGGAAUUCCCGGUGUAGCGGUGAAAUGCGCAGAUAUCGGGAGGAACACCGGUGGCGAAGGCGGCUUGCUGGGCCUUACCUGACGCUGAGGAGCGAAAGCGUGGGGAGCGAACAGG